CUAGAAAUAGUAUUUCGAAAGUUAUUAAGCACAAAAGAUGAAUUGCGUUUAUUUUGAUACACCCUGUAUAUAGGUUAUCAUAUAAGGGAUGAGGUGAUAUCAGUUUUAUCGCUCGAGGGAUGAUAUCACAAUUGUCACGAGCGAGUGCAGCGAGCGAGGGACAAUUGUGAUAUCGUCCCGAGAGCGACAAAACUGAUAUCACCGAAUCCCGAGUACGAUAACCUAUUUAUUAUAUACUUGUACCUUUAUCAGGGUUUGACACCCAAAAGUAAACAGUUUUGAAAAAAUAGGAUCAUUUUAGAAUUCAAAAAAAUUCAUCAUUUACUGAACAAAUAUGAUUUUAGAAAAUAAAUA
rnacentral:lncRNA from 1 species